UGAGGAAUUUUGCGCAAUGGGGGGAACCCUGACGCAGCAACGCCGCGUGAGUGAUGACGGCCUUCGGGUUGUAAAGCUCUGUCUUCAGGGACGAUAAUGACGGUACCUGAGGAGGAAGCCACGGCUAACUACGUGCCAGCAGCCGCGGUAAUACGUAGGUGGCGAGCGUUGUCCGGAUUUACUGGGCGUAAAGGGAGCGUAGGCGGACUUUUAAGUGAGAUGUGAAAUACCCGGGCUCAACUUGGGUGCUGCAUUUCAAACUGGAAGUCUAGAGUGCAGGAGAGGAGAAUGGAAUUCCUAGUGUAGCGGUGAAAUGCGUAGAGAUUAGGAAGAACACCAGUGGCGAAGGCGAUUCUCUGGACUGUAACUGACGCUGAGGCUCGAAAGCGUGGGGAGCAAACA
rnacentral:rRNA from 1 species